UUCCCCUAGUAACGGCGAGUGAAGAGGGAAAAGCCCAAAUUUGUAAUCUGGCCUUUCUUGAAAGGGUCCGAAUUGUAAUUUUGAGAACUGUUUUCUGUGCUGGACCAUGUACAAGUCUGUUGAAAAGCAGCAUCAUUGAGGGUGAAAAUCCCGUAGAUGAUAUGGACUACCAGGGCAAUAUGAUACAGUCUCUAAGAGUCGAGUUGUUUGGGAAUGCAGCUCAAAGUGGGUGGUAAAUUCCAUCUAAGGCUAAAUAUAGGUGAGAGACCGAUAGCAAACAAGUACCGUGAGGGAAAGAUGAAAAGAACUUUGGAAAGAGAGUUAACAGUACGUGAAAUUGUUAAAAGGGAAACAUUUGAAGUUAGACUUGUUAUUGUUGGAUCAGCUUCUUUAUUGAGGUGUAUUCUGAUGAUUAACAGACCAGCAUCAAUUUUUGAGUGCCGGAAAAAGGUAUUGGGAAUGUAGCAUCCUCUGGUUGUGUUAUAGACCUUUACUUCAGAAUACGGUGCUUAGGAUUGAGGAACGCGGUAAGCUUUGUUGCAGACUGUAAAAGGUCUCCUUACUACGGAUGUUGGUGCAAUAGCUUUAAAUGACCC
rnacentral:rRNA from 1 species